rnacentral:rRNA from 1 species
AUUGAACGCUGGCGGCAGGCCUAACACAUGCAAGUCGAACGAGUGGCGGACGGGUGAGUAAUGUCUGGGAAACUGCCUGAAGGAGGGGGAUAACUAAUGGAAACGGUAGCUAAUACCGCAUACCAUCAGAUGUGCCCAGAUGGGAAUAGCUUGGUGGUGGGGUAACGUCUCACCAAGGCGACGAUCCCUAGCUGGGCUGAGAGGAUGACCAGCCACACUGGACCUGAGCCACGGUCCAGCCUCCUACGGGAGGCAGCAGUGGGGAAUAUUGCACAAUGGGCGCAAGCCUGAUGCAGCAAUGCCGCGUGUAUGAAGAAGGCCUUCGGGUUGUAAAGUACUUUCAGCGGGGAGGCGUUACCCGCAGAAGAAGCACCGGCUAACUCCGUGCCAGCAGCCGCGGUAAUUC